rnacentral:rRNA from 1 species
GCGCAGCAGGCGCGAAACCUCCGCAAUGCGGGAAACCGCGACGGGGGGACCCCGAGUGCCGUGGCAACGCCACGGCUUUUCCGGAGUGUAAAAAAGCUCCGGGAAUAAGGGCUGGGCAAGGCCGGUGGCAGCCGCCGCGGUAAUACCGGCGGCCCGAGUGGUGGCCGCUAUUAUUGGGCCUAAAGCGUCCGUAGCCGGGCCCGUAAGUCCCUGGCGAAAAUCCCACGGCUCAACCGUGGGGCUUGCUGGGGAUACUGCGGGUCUUGGGACCGGGAGAGGCGGGGGGUACCCCUGGGGUAGGGGUGAAAUCCUAUAAUCCCAGGGGGACCGCCAGUGGCGAAGGCGCCCCGCUGGAACGGGUCCGACGGUGAGGGACGAAGGCCAGGGGAGCAAACC